UCGGCGCCGUGAAGCCGAUGGCGCAGCGCUUCCCCCAUCCUCGCCCCCGCUUCCCGGAUUCUCCCGUUUGCACCGAGUCUUUGAUGCGAUGAUGCCUACCUGCUGCAUCUUUGCAGAAUUUUCUGUCUUUAUUUAAGACUCCCAGCAGCCACAUGAUUUUGACAGUGAAUUAUUGCAGGUAUUUCUCACAAAACCAAGGCCAGAAACACAAACUGACAAAUGAGGCGUCCUUUUGCAUCAGGGUGGAUGUUGGAUAUGGAAGUCGGUCUCUCGCUUUCUGUGAAGGGUUCCAGCCGGAGUGGGAUUAUUACAGAGCGGAAUAAGGACAGUCUGAGGACUCGAUCCGCUCCCUCUUUACAGCGAAGGGUGUUCGGUUCAGAGUGAAGCCUGAACGGAAUGUUUCCCUCCUGGGAAAGCGGGGAACAGGGAUUGAUUCCCGCCCGGGACAGUUAGAAAGCGACAGGAGAAUGAACCACAUUUAAACAAAAUGUUAAAACCCGCGCCUGCGAUUGGUGACGGCACGAGCUGAAUAAAACCAAAUAAAGAGAAGGGAUUUGAAAUCUCAGACCAAGGACGACAUUUACUUUAAUCCGCUUCUUUCCCGCAGUGAAAUUGGCGGGCUUUUUAAAAUGGACAAUGCUACUGGUUCUGACGGUUAUGGCAAAUCCCGCCCUCUUCUGUUUCCGUUUGUCUGAUUGGUGAAGAAUAUAGGCAAAUAAGGUGGAUUGAACAGAGACCAAUCAGACGAGUUUUCAGUUUAUGAGAACAGUAAAUGUUGGAGAAAUUGUUCAUUUUUUGGGAAAGUGUUUGUGAGAUUGUGGAAUGACAGGAAGAGGAAAGACCGGCGGGAAAGAUUUCCUGUUUGUGUCCCGUGCGUUCGCAGUCAGAUCCACCGACGUCAAG